CAGGACACAGAAUCGCUGGUGGCUGACUUUACACCCCCCGGCGUGCCUGUCCACUGUCU
rnacentral:pre_miRNA from 1 species